rnacentral:rRNA from 1 species
GAUGAACGCUGGCGGCGUGCCUAAUACAUGCAAGUCGAGCGAACAGACGAGGAGCUUGCUCCUCUGACGUUAGCGGCGGACGGGUGAGUAACACGUGGCUAACCUACCUAUAAGACUGGGAUAACUUCGGGAAACCGGAGCUAAUACCGGAUAAUAUAUUGAACCGCAUGGUUCAAUAGUGCAAGCCGGUUUUGCUGUCACUUAUUGAUGGAUCCGCGCCGCAUUAGCUAGUUGGUAAGGUAACGGCUUACCAAGGCAACGAUGCGUAGCCGACCUGAGAGGGUGAUCGGCCACACUGGAACUGAGACACGGUCCAGACUCCUACGGGAGGCAGCAGUAGGGAAUCUUCCGCAAUGGGCGAAAGCCUGACGGAGCAACGCCGCGUGAGUGAUGAAGGUCUUCGGAUCGUAAAACUCUGUUAUUAGGGAAGAACAAAUGUGUAAGUAACUAUGCACGUCUUGACGGUACCUAAACAGAAAGCCACGGCUAACUACGUG